rnacentral:miRNA from 1 species
AAAAUGUAAAAUUCAGAGAGACAAUGAAUCAUUUUUAGUAUAAGUAUGUUCCAUGGAAUAUUUGGGACAUACUUGUCCUAAAAUAUUAUUUGUUGUCUAUCUGAAAUUCAAAUGUGACUGGAAGGCCUGUAUUUU